rnacentral:rRNA from 1 species
GCGACAAGCGGUGAGCAUGUGGUUAAUUCGAAGCAACGCGAAGACCUUACCUAGGCUUGACAUCCCGAGAAGUCUUUCGAAAGCUAGAUGUGCCCUUCGGGGAACUCGGUGACAGGUGCUGCAUGGCUGUCGUCAGCUCGUGUCGUGAGAUGUUGGGUUAAGUCCCGCAACGAGCGCAACCCCCAUCUUUAGUUGCCAUCAUUGAGUUGGGCACUCUAAAGAGACUGCCGGUGUCAAACCGGAGGAAGGUGGGGAUGACGUCAAGUCCUCAUGGCCUUUAUGACCAGGGCUACACACGUACUACAAUGGCCGGUACAAAGGGCAGCGACACAGCGAUGUGAAGCGAAUCCCAAAAAGCCGGUCUCAGUCCGGAUUGGAGUCUGCAACUCGACUCCAUGAAGUUGGAAUCGCUAGUAAUCGCGGAUCAGCACGCCGCGGUGAAUACGUUCCCGGGCCUU